rnacentral:antisense_RNA from 1 species
GUGGGAGCCGGGCUUGCCCGCGAUGCAGGCAACGCGAUUUAUCUGGUGUAACGCGGUGAUGCAAUCGCGGGCAAGCCCGGCUCCCAC